rnacentral:rRNA from 1 species
UACGUAGGGUGCGAGCGUUGUCCGGAAUUAUUGGGCGUAAAGAGCUCGUAGGCGGUCUGUCGCGUCGAUCGUGAAAACUUGGGGCUUAACCCUGAGCUUGCGGUCGAUACGGGCAGACUAGAGUGCGGUAGGGGAGAUUGGAAUUCCUGGUGUAGCGGUGGAAUGCGCAGAUAUCAGGAGGAACACCGAUGGCGAAGGCAGAUCUCUGGGCCGUUACUGACGCUGAGGAGCGAAAGCGUGGGGAGCGAACAGG